AUUCCUCCACGUGUGGUAUCAAGAUGCUUAGGGUGGAUUUCCACAUAAUUUCCUCAUUAUAAAACAAAUAUUUUCAAUAGAAAAGAAAAUAUGACAACUAAAUUUCCUGUGAAGUUCACAUCAUAACGCAUCAGACAGUCUGCUUCCUGUCGCCACUCUUGUCGCAGCGAUGGGUGACUUCUACUGUGGAGAUUGUAACUGUGGUGACUGCGGGGACUGUAACUGUGGUGACUGCGGGGACUGUGACUGCGGGGACUGCGAUUGUGGCGACUGUAAUUGCGACUCUUGCAAUAAUGGCAAUUUCUGCUGCUGGUUCUGCAUGAGCGACACGACAGAUUUAAUUAAUGAUGAUCGGAGGAAGAAGAAGAAAGAAAACAAAGAAGCUGACCAAGAGGAGGUGGUCACCAGCCAGCCAGGGACCGUAGCUUUGCCAAACACCACCGGCGAUCCUGCUUGAGGAACGGCGCGCCUUGGUGCCUAUCUCACCCACGUCGUUUUUUUUUUUUUUUGUUACUUUCCUAACGUGUCACCUCCGGUGCCUUCUGCCAAAACAAUAAUGGAGAUUACUACAUGUGUUUGUAUUUGUAACGUAAAUAUGAUUGCAGAAGCUGUCUGACAGCUUUAUUUUAUGGAUGAUCAUUACAUUAUUACAUUGUAUUUUUUUUUUUCGUCAUAUUGUAUGUUAUUCUCAAUAUGUUUAUGCAAAAAAAUUAUCAAGCUUUGGACAUUGUUUUCCUUAUGUAACAAGAAACAAGUCACGCGUCUGCUUGUGUGUGUGUGUGUGUGUGUGAGAGAGAGAGAGAGAGAGAGAGAGAGAGAGAGAGAGAGAGAGAGAGAGAGAGAGAGAGAGAGAGAGAGAGAGAGAGAGAGAGAGAGAGAGAGAGAGAGAGAGAGGUAUACACUGACACACGUGUAUCUUAACAGUAAUCAAAAUGUACCAAAGCGUACUGUUGUUGUCUACAGAGAAAAAAAAACAUUAACAGGGGCAGGAGUUACCCAAUCUUAUGUUUGUUAGUCAUAUUAUCGUUGUGUAUGCCCUUAUACUCUCUCUCUCUCUCUCUCUCUCUCUCUCUCUCUCUCUCUCUCUCUCUCUCUCUCUCUCUCUCUCUCUCUCUCUCUCUCUGUCUCAUUUUGUUUGUUUCUCCAAACGGCCGGAAGUGAUGAUAUUAUCAAUACGUCACAACACUUUCCGUUUUUCACAGAACUCGAUCCUCGUGACUGAAAUAUACCCUUCGGGUUUUUUUUUAAGAUAUGUUGAUAAUGUUAUCUCUUAUCGUCUUCUUCCAAUGGCACUGAGGCGAUAGCAUCUGACACAUUGUUCUUUUUUUGUGCUCCCCUUACUGAUAACCAAAUGAAAUUAUUGAGGUGUUUGACAUUAAGAGAAAUUAAAGAGAAGAGUUGAUGGCACCAUUCAGUGCGUAUAUUUAUUUAAAAAGAAAGACAAAUAAAACAGAACCCAUCUUUGACAUCUAGGGUGCUCCUGAACCAACUUCAAUUAUUUUUUUCUAAAGUGGAAUUUCACUGUGAUGACUUUCAUCACAAAGAAGACAUGGCAACCCACUUCUUCAACCCUCAGCUGGAAGUCCCUACACUAUUGGAGAUUUAUAAGUUUGUUGCAAUCACACGCGGCGCAGCGAUGGGUGACAUUCUCGAUACUGACUGUGGCGACUGCUGCUGUUGUACCUGCGACAGCAACUGUUGCUGCUGCUGCUGCGACUGUAAUACUGAAUGUUUUAACAGUUUUUCCAUUGGUUAUGACUGUGAUAUCUGCUGUGUCUGCGACGAAGCAAAAGAAAUAGCAGAUGAAACUCGUCAGUGGAAAAACGAGAAGAGAGAAGUGGUGACCAGCCAGCCUGAGGCCACACCUUUGUCCUUCACCACCGCCAGUCCCUCGUGAGGAUCGCCAAGCCUCAGUGUUUAAGUUUACUUCGUUAUUUAUCUCACCUUUGUUCACCUACAGCAGCGCCUUCCGCUAUAAAGGAAUCAAAGUUACUUUGCAUAAUUAAUUAAUUUUGAAUUUUACGUAGUUUAUAAUUACAGCAUUUAAAGCAGUAAUUUUCAUUCUUAUUUUUUGUAGGUAUGAAUAGUCGACAUAUUUAUGCAAAAUAUGUAAAAAUUAUUAAAAUAAAUAGAUAAAAAAAA